GUAGGGAAUAUUGCAAAAUGGGCGAAAGCCCGAUGCAGCAACGCCGCGUGGGCGAUGAAGGCCUUCGGGUCGUAAAGCCCUUUUUGAGGGGAUGAGGAAGGGCAGUACCCUCAGAAUAAGCCUCGGCUAACUACGUGCCCGCAGCCGCGGUAAAACGUAGGAGGCGAGCGUUAUCCGGAUUUACUGGGCGUAAAGCGCGUGCAGGCGGAUUGGAGAGUUGGAUGUGAAAGCUCCCGGCUUAACUGGGAGAGGUCGUUCAAUACUUCCAGUCUUGAGUGCAGUAGAGGGAAGUGGAAUUCCGGGUGUAGUGGUGAAAUGCGUAGAUAUCCGGAGGAACACCAGUGGCGAAAGCGGCUUCCUGGACUGUAACUGACGCUCAGACGCGAAAGCUAGGGUAGCAAACG
rnacentral:rRNA from 1 species